rnacentral:rRNA from 1 species
GAUCAUGGCUCAGAUUGAACGCUGGCGGCAGGCCUAACACAUGCAAGUCGAACGGUAACAGGAAACAGCUUGCUGUUUCGCUGACGAGUGGCGGACGGGUGAGUAAUGUCUGGGAAACUGCCUGAUGGAGGGGGAUAACUACUGGAAACGGUAGCUAAUACCGCAUAACGUCGCAAGACCAAAGAGGGGACCCUCGGGCCUCUUGCCAUCGGAUGUGCCCAGAUGGGAUUAGCUGUUGG